AAGUCGUAACAAGGUUUCCGUAGGUGAACCUGCGGAAGGAUCAUUUGUGAAAAUUUAAUGUUUUUUUUGAAGAGGGGUAAAAUCCUUUUUAGAAAAACAUAAAAAAAGAGAUUUCUUGUGGUUUAUAAAUGAUUUUUUAAAAAAUUGUUUGUUGUUGAAAAAUGACAAACAAUUAUAUUUUUAAAAUCAAUUUUUUAUAAAAAACUAUUUUAAACAUGUAUUUAAAAAAUUAACAGUUUUAAAAAAAUAAAUUAAAAAAAAAAUUAAAACUGUCAACGGUGGAUCUCUUGGCUCGU
rnacentral:misc_RNA from 1 species